rnacentral:pre_miRNA from 1 species
AUCGUACUCCCUCCGUUCCAAAUUACUUGUCGUAGAAAUGGAUGUAUCUAGAACUAAAAUACAUCUAGAUACAUCCAUUUAUGCGACGAGUAAUUUGGAACGGAGGGAGUACUUG